GGGUUGUGAGGUUAAGCGACUAAGCGUACACGGUGGAUGCCCUGGCAGUCAGAGGCGAUGAAGGACGUGCUAAUCUGCGAUAAGCGCCGGUAAGGUGAUAUGAACCGUUAUAACCGGCGAUUUCCGAAUGGGGAAACCCAGUGUGACUCGUCACACUAUCAUUAACUGAAUCCAUAGGUUAAUGAGGCGAACCGGGGGAACUGAAACAUCUAAGUACCCCGAGGAAAAGAAAUCAACCGAGAUUCCCCCAGUAGCGGCGAGCGAACGGGGAGGAGCCCAGAGCCUGAAUCAGCAUGUGUGUUAGUGGAAGCGUCUGGAAAGGCGCGCGAUACAGGGUGACAGCCCCGUACACAAAAGCGCAUGUGCUGUGAGCUCGAUGAGUAGGGCGGGACACGUGGUAUCCUGUCUGAAUAUGGGGGGACCAUCCUCCAAGGCUAAAUACUCCUGACUGACCGAUAGUGAACCAGUACCGUGAGGGAAAGGCGAAAAGAACCCCGGCGAGGGGAGUGAAAAAGAACCUGAAACCGUGUACGUACAAGCAGUGGGAGCACCCUUUGGGGGUGUGACUGCGUACCUUUUGUAUAAUGGGUCAGCGACUUAUAUUCUGUAGCAAGGUUAACCGAAUAGGGGAGCCGGAGGGAAACCGAGUCUUAACCGGGCGUUAAGUUGCAGGGUAUAGACCCGAAACCCGGUGAUCUAGCCAUGGGCAGGUUGAAGGUUGGGUAACACUAACUGGAGGACCGAACCGACUAAUGUUGAAAAAUUAGCGGAUGACCUGUGGCUGGGGGUGAAAGGCCAAUCAAACCGGGAGAUAGCUGGUUCUCCCCGAAAGCUAUUUAGGUAGCGCCUCGUGAAUUCAUCUCCGGGGGUAGAGCACUGUUUCGGCUAGGGGGCCAUCCCGGCUUACCAACCCGAUGCAAACUGCGAAUACCGGAGAAUGUUAUCACGGGAGACACACGGCGGGUGCUAACGUCCGUCGUGAAGAGGGAAACAACCCAGACCGCCAGCUAAGGUCCCAAAGUCAUGGUUAAGUGGGAAACGAUGUGGGAAGGCCCAGACAGCCAGGAUGUUGGCUUAGAAGCAGCCAUCAUUUAAAGAAAGCGUAAUAGCUCACUGGUCGAGUCGGCCUGCGCGGAAGAUGUAACGGGGCUAAACCAUGCACCGAAGCUGCGGCAGCGACACUAUGUGUUGUUGGGUAGGGGAGCGUUCUGUAAGCCUGUGAAGGUGGCCUGUGAGGGUUGCUGGAGGUAUCAGAAGUGCGAAUGCUGACAUAAGUAACGAUAAAGCGGGUGAAAAGCCCGCUCGCCGGAAGACCAAGGGUUCCUGUCCAACGUUAAUCGGGGCAGGGUGAGUCGACCCCUAAGGCGAGGCCGAAAGGCGUAGUCGAUGGGAAACGGGUUAAUAUUCCCGUACUUGGUGUUACUGCGAAGGGGGGACGGAGAAGGCUAUGUUGGCCGGGCGACGGUUGUCCCGGUUUAAGCGUGUAGGUGUGUGUUCCAGGUAAAUCCGGUUCACUUUAACACUGAGGCGUGAUGACGAGGCACUACGGUGCUGAAGCAACAAAUGCCCUGCUUCCAGGAAAAGCCUCUAAGCAUCAGGUAACAUCAAAUCGUACCCCAAACCGACACAGGUGGUCAGGUAGAGAAUACCAAGGCGCUUGAGAGAACUCGGGUGAAGGAACUAGGCAAAAUGGUGCCGUAACUUCGGGAGAAGGCACGCUGACAUGUAGGUGAAGUGAUUUACUCAUGGAGCUGAAGUCAGUCGAAGAUACCAGCUGGCUGCAACUGUUUAUUAAAAACACAGCACUGUGCAAACACGAAAGUGGACGUAUACGGUGUGACGCCUGCCCGGUGCCGGAAGGUUAAUUGAUGGGGUCAGCGCAAGCGAAGCUCCUGAUCGAAGCCCCGGUAAACGGCGGCCGUAACUAUAACGGUCCUAAGGUAGCGAAAUUCCUUGUCGGGUAAGUUCCGACCUGCACGAAUGGCGUAAUGAUGGCCAGGCUGUCUCCACCCGAGACUCAGUGAAAUUGAACUCGCUGUGAAGAUGCAGUGUACCCGCGGCAAGACGGAAAGACCCCGUGAACCUUUACUAUAGCUUGACACUGAACAUUGAGCCUUGAUGUGUAGGAUAGGUGGGAGGCUUUGAAGUGUGGACGCCAGUCUGCAUGGAGCCGACCUUGAAAUACCACCCUUUAAUGUUUGAUGUUCUAACGUGGACCCGUGAUCCGGGUUGCGGACAGUGUCUGGUGGGUAGUUUGACUGGGGCGGUCUCCUCCUAAAGAGUAACGGAGGAGCACGAAGGUUGGCUAAUCCUGGUCGGACAUCAGGAGGUUAGUGCAAUGGCAUAAGCCAGCUUGACUGCGAGCGUGACGGCGCGAGCAGGUGCGAAAGCAGGUCAUAGUGAUCCGGUGGUUCUGAAUGGAAGGGCCAUCGCUCAACGGAUAAAAGGUACUCCGGGGAUAACAGGCUGAUACCGCCCAAGAGUUCAUAUCGACGGCGGUGUUUGGCACCUCGAUGUCGGCUCAUCACAUCCUGGGGCUGAAGUAGGUCCCAAGGGUAUGGCUGUUCGCCAUUUAAAGUGGUACGCGAGCUGGGUUUAGAACGUCGUGAGACAGUUCGGUCCCUAUCUGCCGUGGGCGCUGGAGAACUGAGGGGGGCUGCUCCUAGUACGAGAGGACCGGAGUGGACGCAUCACUGGUGUUCGGGUUGUCAUGCCAAUGGCACUGCCCGGUAGCUAAAUGCGGAAGAGAUAAGUGCUGAAAGCAUCUAAGCACGAAACUUGCCCCGAGAUGAGUUCUCCCUGAGACUUAGAGUCUCCUGAAGGAACGUUGAAGACGACGACGUUGAUAGGCCGGGUGUGUAAGCGCAGCGAUGCGUUGAGCUAACCGGUACUAAUGAACCGUGAGGCUUAACCUUACAACGCCGAAG
rnacentral:rRNA from 1 species